GCCUCUGUAGCUCAGUUAGUUAGAGCGCUGCACUGGUAUCGCAGGGCCCUAGGUUCAAUUCCUACCAGAGGAC
rnacentral:tRNA from 1 species